rnacentral:rRNA from 1 species
AUUGAACGCUGGCGGCAUGCCUACACAUGCAAGUCGAACGGUAACGGGCCUUCGGGUGCCGACGAGUGGCGAACGGGUGAGUAAUACAUCGGAACGUGCCCGAUCGUGGGGGAUAACGAGGCGAAAGCUUUGCUAAUACCGCAUACGAUCUACGGAUGAAAGCAGGGGACCGCAAGGCCUUGCGCGGACGGAGCGGCCGAUGGCAGAUUAGGUAGUUGGUGGGAUAAAAGCUUACCAAGCCGACGAUCUGUAGCUGGUCUGAGAGGAUGAUCAGCCACACUGGGACUGAGACACGGCCCAGACUCCUACGGGAGGCAGCAGUGGGGAAUUUUGGACAAUGGGCGCAAGCCUGAUCCAGCCAUGCCGCGUGCAGGAUGAAGGCCUUCGGGUUGUAAACUGCUUUUGUACGGAACGAAAAGCCUUCUUUUAAUACAGGAGGGUCAUGACGGUACCGUAAGAAUAAGCACCGGCUAACUACGUG